UUAAAAAAAAAACCAGGCUUCUCGUAUUUCUUCUUCUUUUCUUUCCCCCUGAUUUUUCUACUUGUUUUUUCCCUCGUUCUCACCUUCUCUUCCAGGCCACCACCUCCGAAUUCCCACCUUUUCCAUUGAAGCCGUUUUUGAGCUCUCUCUCACUCCAUUGAAGCAGUUGCAUGCACCUCCUUCUCUGACCAUAUCUCUCCUCCAUUGAACUCGUGCUCUCUAUUCUCCAUUGAAGCGCAUUCUGAGUUUUCUCACCUCCAUUGAAGCAGCUUCGAGGUUCUUGCUGAAAAAGCUUAUCUUGUGGGUGUGGAGCAAAAAGGUAUUAAAGUGGAUUCUUUUGGAAUAGAAGAAUCUCUGAAAGAAUUGGCUCAACUAGCUGACACAGCAGGUCUUCAGGUUGUUGGCUCUACUUAUCAAAAGUGAGUAUGUCGUGGGUUUUUCUAUUGCAUAAUGUGGUUACGCUAUAAGUUGCAAUGUGCAUAUACUUAAGACAGUACAAUUAGCUAAUUGGAGAUUUAUAUUAUCUGUGCAUGCCCUAAAUCUUCCAGUUAACAUGUUAUAUAUCUCUGUCACUCUGUGUGUGACUGUGAAAGUUGGGGAAGGGUUGGAGAAUUGAAUGGGGGAGUGUCGCUUAAAACGAUAAUGUAACUCUUUUAAUUAGAGCUUAAGGGGUUUCAGUGAGUUGAUUUUGUAUCUGUUGUAAUUCUUUGUAAGUGAAAAGCACUUGUAACUUAAGGCAUGUUAUGUGUCAUCUGGGAACAUGGCCUCCAAAGCAGCUACAAUUCAAUUAAAAGCUUUAGUACCUCCGUUUUAACUUGUUAAGAUAGAGAUUGUUAAACAAAACUCAGAUUACUUUACCAAGUGUGUAUUGACUUAUGAGUUUUUGUCAUAUAGUUUACAUAUGUCUUCUAUCAAAUACAUUUCUCCUUUA